CCUACGGGAGGCAGCAGUGAGGAAUAUUGGUCAAUGGACGAGAGUCUGAACCAGCCAAGUAGCGUGAAGGAUGACUGCCCUAUGGGUUGUAAACUUCUUUUAUAUGGGAAUAAAACAGGGUAUGCAUACCCUCUUGUAUGUACCAUAUGAAUAAGGAUCGGCUAACUCCGUGCCAGCAGCCGCGGUAAUACGGAGGAUCCGAGCGUUAUCCGGAUUUAUUGGGUUUAAAGGGAUUGUAGGUGGAUUGUUAAGUCAGUUGUGAAAGUUUGCGGCUCAACCGUAAAAUUGCAGUUGAAACUGGCAGUCUUGAGUACAGUAGAGGUGGGCGGAAUUCGUGGUGUAGCGGUGAAAUGCUUAGAUAUCACGAAGAACUCCGAUUGCGAAGGCAGCUUACUGGACUGCAACUGACACUGAUGCUCGAAAGUGUGGGUAUCAAACAGGAUUAGAUACCCGGGUAGUC
rnacentral:rRNA from 1 species